AAAUUAAAGUAAAAAAGUAACGAAUUCUAUCAUCCUCUUGGUGCUGUGCAUCCACCAACAGCUGCUCUUGUUCUGGAUUGUUUAAACUACCAACACACACCCCAUUCUUUAUUUACCCGAAUCCCGAAUCCCUAAUCUUCUCCCAAAGUCUUUCGCUCUGUCUUACACACACUCCCUCCCUCUACCCAUUCGAACCUCUCUCUCAUCUCUUCCCUGCGGCUUCUGCUCUCCUGUCCCUCUCUCCGCUACGGCUGUGCUCUCUUCUCACCCAGUCUCGGGAUAAGCAUAGUUGGGCUUUCAACUGCAGAGAUGACUAGCUGUCUCACUGAGUAGUUCACUAAUCACUCCCCAUAGACGGGUUAUGAAUAUGCGUCAGUGUCGCAGUUGGAUGUACGAUAGACUUAAACCAGGUCGAAAGGGUUUAACCAGUGAAUUUACAAAAGGGGUGGAAGGAUUUAUUU